AGUCAAUGAACUUGUAUAAGUAUAUAUUUUGAAAGUAUAAAAAAAGAAUAAUAAUCUUAUUGACUU
rnacentral:tRNA from 1 species